GUUUAGGAAAGGUGUUAGACCAGCCUCUUACCUACCUAAUCAGCUAGUCCAGACAGUGGGGUGUUUCUCAAUUGGGCAACUCCCCAUGUCUUUCAACUGGGCUCUUCCAGUAUUUUUUCAACUGGGGGUGCUGUGGCGGGGUGCGCACCUAUUAGACAUCACCAAAUACAACUCAGGAUUGUCAACCAAUCAAUAGUCAGAAGGUUCAAAAACCAGGAAAGGCUCACCCAAAUUCACCAGAACUUUCUGAGGAGGUGGACAGGCACAAGAGGCCUCUGCUGGAACAAGGCUCAGGUUCUCAUAGUGUUCAAGGAAAGUGAAAAGAAAAAAAAAAGGAAUGAGUUUUUCCUCUUUCCCUUUCCUGAGAACAAAGAAAAUACAGAGAACAUUACUUAUCAGAAAGAAGGCCGAAGAGUCACUGAACUGCCAGACUCAAUUACUGGGUUACUGACACCAGUCUAUGACUGUCUUUGAAACAAUGCAAGAGGAAGACAUCAAGAUACUAUCAUCUUUGUUCCUCAUCACUGACUCCUGACUGCAAGCCCUCAUCUUAUAUAAGUCCCUAGACUCCUCAUGGGGGCUUGGUACAGUUCUUGAGACAGGAGCCUACUGUGUUUCCCUCUCUGCCGCUGAGAAUUAAAGCCACCUCUAUUUCCUCCAAACUCUGUCUCCGUAUUUUUUUUUUUAUUAUUCAGCUUCAGUGGGUAGAGAAGGACAAGAUUUUGGCCAGCAGCAUGUGGAGGACUGAAGCCUGGGAUACAAUCUCUCAGAUAACUGAGGGACUAUUCCAAAGAGAUAAGAGAGACUCCAGGAUAUACAGGAGUUUUUGGAAAACAAAACCAAACCAGGCCACAGGUGAGAGACUUUGCACCAAGGCCACAGAAGAGGAGCCCAGAACCAAGAACACCUCCAAAGCUGACUGAAUCCCUUUGUAACCUGACCAAAAGCCCCUUGAUCAUCACUAACAAGCUUCCUGACUCCCAGUUAAGCAAAGAUGCCCACUCCUAUAGCGCCCAAACAAUCAACUAAGGCAAACUAUGCAGCAGGAAUUUUGUCUUGAGGCUAUAAAAAUCGGCUAUUAUCCUACAGAAACUGUCCACUCUCCCUGGCCUGUCAGGAGUUGUUGGCCUGCUGCUCCCCAGGUGCUCACUUUAUCUCUGCUCUUUGUUCUUAAUAAACUCACUCCCUUCUGAAAUACUCUGUCUGGAAAUUCUUUUCCAACCCGCGCUCGGACUGCCUCAAUG
ensembl:lncRNA